rnacentral:rRNA from 1 species
AUGUGUGACCGUUCUUAUCCCAAGAAACUUGCGUUCCAGUAUUUAGAAGAUCUAAAAAAUGAAUUCGAGAGGGUCAAUGGCAGCCAAAUUGAAACUGCUGCAAGGCCAUAUGCUUUCAUCAAAUUUGAUACAUUCAUACAGAAAACCAGGAAACUAUAUUUGGAUACCAGAACCCAAAGGAACCUUGCCAAGUUGAAUGAUGAGCUCUACGAGGUGCACCAGAUUAUGACUCGCAAUGUUCAAGCAGUUCUUGGUGUGGGUGAAAAACUAGAUCAGGUGAGUCAAAUGUCUAGUAGGUUGACCUCUGAUACGAGAAUGUAUGCAGACAAGGCAAAGGAUCUCAAUCGCCAGGCCUUGAUUCGGAAGUAUGCCCCUGUGGCCAUUGUGAUGGGGAUAGUACUGAUGCUCUUUUGGAUCAAGAACAAGAUAUGGUGA